AAGCCUUACAUUUCAGAAAAACGUCUCGUUCUUUUAGGGCCGAACGGCCCUGACUGCCAUGAGACGCUUAUUCGGUGCCGAUUGAGACACGGUCGUCGGCGCCAUUAUGUCCCCACCGUUCGCAACAGGCCUAAAUGACCCACAUUUCCCACGCGUCCGCCUUAUUAUUCAGCCCCCAAUUUAGGUACACGAGUUGUGUACUGCACGAAGGCUAUGACAAUAAGAUCUCACAGCUUCUCCUUCUACCUUAAAGGCCACAUCGCCACCUUACACAUCUAUAGCCUUUCUUGUGGUCACCGCUUCCGUCAAAAGACCAGCUGUUGACUGCGAGUCCGUGCUUUCGCACCCCUCGCUUGUCCUAAUCUAUGGGACCAUCAGGUGCGGCAUUUGCUACUUGUGAUCUACAACCAGUAUGCACUAGUCACAGCGUCGAUUGCGUAAUUCAUAAGGUGGACCCUUCAUGCCAGCG
rnacentral:rRNA from 1 species